AGAGUUUGAUCAUGGCUCAGAGCGAACGCUGGCGGCAGGCUUAACACAUGCAAGUCGAGCGGGCCCUUCGGGGUCAACGGCAGACGGGUGAGUAACACGUGGGAACGCGCCCUUCGGUUCGGAAUAACUCAGGGAAACUUGAGCUAAUACCGGAUACGCCCUUAUGGGGAAAGGUUUACUGCCGAAGGAUCGGCCCGCGUCUGAUUAGCUUGUUGGUGGGGUAACGGCCUACCAAGGCGACGAUCAGUAGCUGGUCUGAGAGGAUGAUCAGCCACACUGGGACUGAGACACGGCCCAGACUCCUACGGGAGGCAGCAGUGGGGAAUAUUGGACAAUGGGCGCAAGCCUGAUCCAGCCAUGGCCGCGUGAGUGAUGAAGGCCUUAGGGUUGUAAAGCUCUUUUGUCCGGGACGAUAAUGACGGUACCGGAAGAAUAAGCCCCGGCUAACUUCGUGCCAGCAGCCGCGGUAAUACGAAGGGGGCUAGCGUUGCUCGGAAUCACUGGGCGUAAAGGGCGCGUAGGCGGCCGAUUAAGUCGGGGGUGAAAGCCUGUGGCUCAACCACAGAAUUGCCUUCGAUACUGGUUGGCUUGAGACCGGAAGAGGACAGCGGAACUGCGAGUGUAGAGGUGAAAUUCGUAGAUAUUCGCAAGAACACCAGUGGCGAAGGCAGAUCUCUGGGCCGUAACUGACGCUGAGGAGCGAAAGGGUGGGGAGCAAACAGGCUUAGAUACCCUGGUAGUCCACCCCGUAAACGUUGGGAACUAGUUGUGGGGUCCAUUCCACGGAUUCCGUGACGCAGCUAACGCAUUAAGUUCCCCGC
rnacentral:rRNA from 1 species